UACGGAGGGGACUAGCGUUGUUCGGAAUUACUGGGCGUAAAGCGCACGUAGGCGGAUUUGUAAGUCAGGGGUGAAAUCCCGGGGCUCAACCUCGGAACUGCCUUUGAUACUGCAAAUCUCGAGUCCGGAAGAGGUGAGUGGAAUUCCUAGUGUAGAGGUGAAAUUCGUAGAUAUUAGGAAGAACACCAGUGGCGAAGGCGGCUCACUGGUCCGGUACUGACGCUGAGGUGCGAAAGCGUGGGGAGCAAACAGGGAUUAAGAUACC
rnacentral:rRNA from 1 species